CCUACGGGAGGCAGCAGUGGGGAAUAUUGGACAAUGGGCGAAAGCCUGAUCCAGCCAUGCCGCGUGUGUGAAGAAGGCCUUAGGGUUGUAAAGCACUUUCAGGGGUGAGGAAGGGUAGCUAGUUAAUACCUAGUUAUUUUGACGGUAGCCGGAGAAGAAGCCCCGGCUAACUCCGUGCCAGCAGCCGCGGUAAU
rnacentral:rRNA from 1 species